rnacentral:lncRNA from 1 species
GUCUUUUGAAAGAAAGAUGUUGUAACUGUUGAGACUUUGAGGAAGAGAUUAUUGCAUUUUCAGUUGUAUACAAGAAAGUUGUAUCACAUGAGAUGAAAUUAUUAACUUGUGUUUGUUUGUAGAUUAAGUAUGGUUUAAGGAGAUAUAUUUGGGCUUCAAUUUGAUAAUGGAUGGGAUGUGAAGGUUAAGAUUGUUAAUUUGAUUAGAUGGGAGCCACAUAAGUGACUAGGAAAUCGCACUUCUGGGUAUGCCUGGGUAAGUCAUGAAAGUGUGACCUUGGAACUGUAUCUGGUACCUGGCCCUUCCUCUCUGUGCUGUUUCCCUGUUCUGCUUCCAGACCACCAUAAACUAACCAGCUUUGUUCCACCCCACCCUUCCACCAUGAUGUUUCUGCCUUGAAGACAGCUAAUCAUAGACUGAGUCCCCUGAAAAUGUGAGACAAAUUAAACCUCUCUUCCUUUCAGUUAUAGAUGUUGAGUAUUGUGUCCCAACAAUAAGAAAGAUGACUAAUACAAUGUGCAUAAUUUUAAUAGAAAUAACAUUUUGUUUCCUACAGUAGAAAAGCUUUUGAUUUCUUUUUUGUUUACUUCCCUUUCAAAGUAGGAAGGUGCUGUGAUUUGGAUUUUAAAUGCCCCUCAAAAGUUCAUGUGUUGAAAGCUUGGUCCCAGCUGAUGGCACUAUUUACAGCUGGUGGGAACUCUAGAAAAUGAAGCCUAGUUUGAGAGGCUGUCAGCCCAGGCAUCCUCUGGAAUGCUCCUGUGCACUCUGAAGGACUCUGUGCACUUGUGGGAGGCAGAAAUAAUGACCUGUAGACUGCUGAAGUGGGCAGUGCUGCAACCUGGAACCCCACCAGCCCUGCUGGGAAGGAAGCUUGUCCGUUUAUCAAGCUGACAGCAAGGCAGCAAAGGGAGCUGCUGAAGCAUCCUUUGCCAAGGACGAGCAUAAUGCAGAAAUAUACGUCAUUGCUGCUUGUGAAUGAAUAUAUUUCUGGUUCAAUUGCUGGAUCAUAUCACCAGUCAUCUAAAGUAAUGGACAGUGAAGAAUGACCAAAAGUUACAUUCCCCCAGACAAUGCCAAAAAUAGCUUUAUCUAAAGUGAGCUAUUGAGUUGGAGUCAGAUUUACUGGCCUCGUAGAAAAAAUACAACACUCGUAUACUUUUUCUAACUUAGAAUCUAUUAAAGAUAGUGCCCUAAGAACACUCAAGGAACUGUGGCCUUUUCCAGAUCAUGAGUUAAGUUUACCUGUCUUUUAGUAGAACCUUGUCUUUUCCAUAUGGUUCAAACUAUACCAGCAAGACACUAUUGCUGUUUAGGUAGAUUUCAAAUAAACAUUCUGCAAGACAGUACUGUAGAUGCUGGUACUGCCUCUCCAGAG